rnacentral:rRNA from 1 species
GGGUUGUGAGGUUAAGCGACUAAGCGUACACGGUGGAUGCCCUGGCAGUCAGAGGCGAUGAAGGGCGUGCUAAUCUGCGAUAAGCGCCGGUAAGGUGAUAUGAACCGUUAUAACCGGCGAUACCCGAAUGGGGAAACCCAGUGUGACUCGUCACACUAUCAUUAACUGAAUCCAUAGGUUAAUGAGGCGAACCGGGGGAACUGAAACAUCUAAGUACCCCGAGGAAAAGAAAUCAACCGAGAUUCCCCCAGUAGCGGCGAGCGAACGGGGAGGAGCCCAGAGCCUGAAUCAGCAUGUGUGUUAGUGGAAGCGUCUGGAAAGGCGCGCGAUACAGGGUGACAGCCCCGUACACAAAAGCGCAUGUGCUGUGAGCUCGAUGAGUAGGGCGGGACACGUGGUAUCCUGUCUGAAUAUGGGGGGACCAUCCUCCAAGGCUAAAUACUCCUGACUGACCGAUAGUGAACCAGUACCGUGAGGGAAAGGCGAAAAGAACCCCGGCGAGGGGAGUGAAAAAGAACCUGAAACCGUGUACGUACAAGCAGUGGGAGCACCCUUCGGGGUGUGAC